rnacentral:rRNA from 1 species
UACGUAGGGGGCAAGCGUUGUCCGGAUUCAUUGGGCGUAAAGAGCGUGUAGGCGGCCAGUUAGGUCAGCUGUGAAAACUCGAGGCUCAACCUCGAGACGUCGGCUGAAACCAUCUGGCUAGAGUUCGGAAGAGGAGAGUGGAAUUCCUGGUGUAGCGGUGAAAUGCGCAGAUAUCAGGAGGAACACCGGUGGCGAAGGCGGAUCUCUGGGCCAUUACUGACGCUGAGGAGCGAAAGCGUGGGGAGCGAACAGG